GUUAACAGCUGACCGCCUAAAAGCAUUCCGCGUGAUUUGUGCGUUGCCAUCAAGCAACUCUUGCCGACCUUAAUUGCCUAUAUAUACCACACGCAACCCGCACUUUCCUUUAUCUUCGCAAUUUAGAUUGCUCUCUCCCUCCUCACCAAUCUCUCUCUCUCUCCAAUUCAGAUUGCUCUCUUCUCUCCUCACAAAUCUCUCUAUCCUGUUUAGAAAUUGAUAAGGAUGACGAUACAUGGCAGGUACGUUAAUUAUCGAAUCUCUCUUCCUCGCUUCCCUCUCUCGAUCUCCGCAAGGAGGUUAAUUAUAUAAUCGUUUCCGAUUAAUAUUUUUGAUGGAUCCCGGCGAAGAUCUAGAAAUUCUAAUUAGAUGUUGUAUCAUGUUAAUGAUUACUAAAUUCAAUAUGAUGAUGAUGAGAGCACUUGUUCUGCGAGAACUAGAUGUAAUUCAUGCCUCCUCAAAGAUCAUUAUGGUAAAACCUAUUUUAAGCCUUCUUAAUUGUGCCUGAUGUCAAGUUUCUGCUAGUUUUGGGUUGAUGCUUUUCUAUCGGUAUUGUUUUGGUCUUGUUGUCAAUGAAGAUUCCAGAUCUCUCUGAGUUAUUUUGUUGAUGAGGCACUACUGAUGAGGACUUGUGCGGUAAUGUUUUGAUGAUUUAGAUCACUGUCUGUUUUAGAUCAUUACCUGUGUAUCUGGUAUUGGUUUUGUUGAUGAAGAUUCUAGGUUUCUAUCUAAUGAUCUUGUCCGGAAAGUGACUUACAUAUGAAGAGGCGGAAGUGACUUAUGCGGUAACAUCAUAACCUGUGACCUGUGUAUCUGCUAGUUUUUGGUUGAUGCUUUACUAUGGGUAUUGGUUUUGUUGAUGAAGAUUCAGGUGUUUCUUCCAUGUUAAAAUUACGAGCUUGUGUAUCUGCUAGUUUUUGGUUGAUGCUUCACUCUGGGUAUUUUUCUUCUUGAUGGAGAUUCUAGGUUUCUCUUCCAUGUUAAAAUUAUGAGAAGUGAAUAAUGAGGAGGAUUUGAGCGUAACUGCUCAUUUUGUUUUGAGUAGUUAUUUGUUGAUAUUGUUGUAGCAAUGGUGUGUUGUGUGUUGGCUGGUUUAUUCACGAAAGUUUUAGAACAGAUCAUUCUAAGAGAAAGAGAUGAGACAAGUGGAUGAGCACAGUGGUACCAUGCCUAUUCUCAAUGCAAUAUUAUAAAUUAAAGCUGGUUAGACUUUGUAGGUCGAGUAGUGAUGGACGUUUAUGGGGGUUAUGUCGGGCUAUUAACAUUUAUUCUUCUGUGUUGUUCAAUGUUCCAGUUCUGUGAAGGUUUUGGGAAGUGAUAAGCUAUAAAGGAUUUCGAUAGUUAGGUAUGUACAUGCGAUGGGCAGACUAUUGAGGACUGUCUUUGGUUUGAUCUCAUUCUUCAUUGUUUGGAGGAAAUGUAUAAACAUUGACUAGAAGCUGUAUUAUUUUACAUGUGUAGCAUUGUUGUACAUGAUAAUGUGUGUUUUAUGCAAGAUGUUCUACAUUAUUGAAGUGUUAAUAAAUUUGAAGACAAAAGUUGUGACUCUUUCAACAUGUGAUCCGAUUCUUAACUAUCGUUGUUGUUUGAACCUUUCUUACGAUAUUGUUUAUCUGACGCCCCUUCUAUUGAUAGAGUAAUGUUUUGUGUCUCUUAUACCUUGUUUGUUGUACAGAAAUAUAACUUUGUUUCAGAGUUAUGGACCACACGAGAUUCAACAAAAGAUAACUGUUUCAUCACCCAGCUAUUUUUCUCUUAUAUUCUUGCAGUGCCCCUAUACUUACUAUUUUUUCCCCCCUUCCGUAUACAGUUCAUUUAUGUUUACAUGGCCUGUCAUUUCUCUAACGAAGAUUUGAAUAUGCUUUUGUCGCUAAUGAUUUCAGAAUUACCGGAGCUUGAAACCAUUGAGGCUGCUAAAGUUCAACUAACUUUAUGGUGAUUUCAAUGGUGAUGCUUAACUGAAGUNCCACCCCACGAAAUUGUUUUGAAGUUGAAGACAAAAGUUGUGACUCUUUCAACAUGUGAUCUUAAUCUAAACUAUUGUUGUCGUUUGAACCUUUCUCACGAUAUUGUUUUAAUCU
rnacentral:lncRNA from 1 species